UGCAGUGUGAAGAGAAUGCAAUGAGCAGUUUGGUUUUGGUUAGUGGCUCACACACUGGGCUGACACGUGUCCCCUCUCACACUCUUAAAUAAAAUUGGAAACUUUUUGAUACAGUGAGCACAACAGCACUUCGUCUCCUCUGCUCAGGACUGGGCAGCCUGCUUCCAACUUUUUCUUUCAGCAUUUGAGUAUUUGUCACUCAAGACUGAGCAGCAUUGACUUCUUGUGUUUUUAUCUCUCCUCAGGAGACAGAGCAAUUCCAGGAGACAUGGUGGGGUUUCUGGAAUUUCUCUUCACUUGCCUCUUGCCAUCUGUGCUGUGGGCCAUUCACCUGGAGCAGCUACCAAUCUCCAUCACAAAGGAGCCACAUGAGGACAGCACUGCUGAAUUCACCUGCAAAUUGUCUGGUGCAGCAAGUUCAGGAGACAUGGUGGGAUGUCUGGAAGCCCUCUUUGCUUGUUUCUUCCCUGCUGUUCUGUGGGCCAUUCAUCUGGAGCAGGAGCAGAUCUCGGUCACAAAGCAGCCACUUCAAGGUAGCUCUGCCACAUUCACUUGCAAGGUGUUUGGUGGAUCAGACUCUACCUACAUCCACUGGUACCGAGCCCCAGCUGGAGAGGCCCCACAGAGGCUACUGUACCUCAGUCUCUCUGGGUCAGAGUUAAAGCGAGAGGCAGGCUUCUCCAGUGACAAAUUCUCAGCCUAUGGGACACAAAGCACCUGCAUCUUGGUGGUGCACAAGCUGGAACAGACAGAUAGUGGCCGUUAUUACUGUGCCACAUGGGAUUUUACACAGUGCCACAAGCUUCCUGCAACCCCGCACAAAAACCACCACAGCUCUGUGUGUGGGGCUCAACUCUCACAUUACUGUUGCAGCAGAGCAGGCUGAGCCCUGCCCCC